CUACAAUAAAAAGAACAACGGAGAGGGGGGGUAUGAGCUUCCCAGACGUCAAACUGUACUACAAGGCGGCCAUUCUAGCCGCGCUAGCCACGACACACAGGGCAGCUAACCCACCACAAUGGGUAGCCAUUGAAUCCCACUGGACGUGUAGAGCAGGGAUGCACCACUUGUUUUGGGUGCCAAAACACCUAAGGCCAACAACACCGACCAUGCUAGAGACCACCAAACUAAUGCUGCAUACAUGGGACACAUACAGAACGCACCUUAGUGGCUCAGGAACCACAUCGCUAGCAUCGACAAUGUAUAGUAUCUACCUGAGGAACAAAACAUUUGACUACCGGACUUGGGCGAAUGCAGGGUGUACACACAUACACGACUUAUACAAGGGUACAUCCCUAAAACAGUUCCCGGACCUACAAACACAGCACAACCUACCGAGUAAAGCAAUUUUCUCAUACUUGCAGCUCAAGUCCACCUUACAGCAACCCAAGACUCCACCUAUGACACCCAUGAUUUCAAACUUUGACACAUGGUGCCUCACGGGCAAGCCACACAGACGAGGCAUUUCAAAAAUAUAUAACACAUUGCUUGAGGGCACUCACGCAUCCACAGGCAACUUUAUACAGGCAUGGCACAAAGACCUUG